UUUGGGCUCUGUGAGGGUGAGGUAGUAGGUUGUAUAGUUUGGUGGGUGGGAUUGCACCCUGCUCCGGUGAUAACUAUACAGUCUAUUGCCUUCC
ensembl:miRNA microRNA let-7f-1